CAGUUCGGAUUGUAGUCUGCAACCCGACUACAUGAAGCUGGAAUCGCUAGUAAUCGCGAAUCAGAAUGUCGCGGUGAAUACGUUCCCGGGUCUUGUACACACCGCCCGUCACACCAUGGGAGUCGGAAAUGCCCGAAGUCAGUGACCCAACCGUAAGGAGGGAGCUGCCGAAGGUGGAGCCGGUAACUGGGGUGAAGUCGUAACAAGGUAGC
rnacentral:rRNA from 1 species